UACGUAGGGGGCAAGCGUUGUCCGGAUUUAUUGGGCGUAAAGCGCUCGCAGGUGGUUCGAUGCGUCGUGCGUGAAAGACCCCGGCUCAACUGGGGGGUGUCGUGCGAUACGGUCGGACUGGAGGCCAGUAGGGGGAUGCGGAAUUCCGGGUGUAGUGGUGGAAUGCGUAGAGAUCCGGAGGAACACCAGCGGCGAAGGCGGCAUCCUGGACCGGCAUUGACGCUGAGGCGCGAAAGCUAGGGAGCAAACGGG
rnacentral:rRNA from 1 species